CAAGGACAGCCCUGUGGCGUGGCUGCUCCCUGGGGAGGUGUUGGGCCCACAGCAGGGGGAGAGCUGAGUGGGGCCCGUGGGUGUGAGGAGUGAACUGUGUGCUGGGGAGGGGGUGCAGGGCCAACAGCCAGACCAGGACUUUGUUUUUGCUGUGAGUGUCCCAGAACUCUGUGUGUCACAGGUUUUCCUGCCAGGGCUCAGCCCCAGAGAAGCCACAGCCCCAGAUGGUGACACAGGUGGGACUAGGUGCUUCCAUUCCUGAGAUGAGGGAGCACCAGGUGGCUGGACCAAGAGCUGAUUCUGCAGGAUGGUGAGAGCUGUUCUCGCAGUCUGGUAAUAUUUGUGUGGUCUUUUUGGGUUAUCACAGAAUCAUAGAAGGGUUUGGGCUGGAAGGGGCCAUGGGCAGGGACACCUUCCACUAUCCCAGGUUGCCCCAAGCCCCGUCCACCCUGGCCUUGAACAUGUGCAGGGUUCCAGCCACAGCUUCUCUGUGCCAGAGCCUCCCCACCCUCACUAAUUCCCUGAUACCCCGUGUAACCCUUCCCUGUGCCUGUUGAAACCACCACCCCUUGUCCUGGCACUCCGUGCUCUUUUAAAAAGUCCCCCUCCAGCUUUCCUGCAGGUUGUAGAAAGCUGUUGUGCCUAAUUGGAUGGUGAACAUGAAUAAAAUCAGUUUUUCAAAGUU